CGCCGUGGAGCGAGAGAGGACCGGAGUUGGAGACGGGCGGGUCCGGGAGGUAGUGGUGGACCAUGUAGAGGAGCAUGUUGAGGCUGGUCUCCAGUGCCUCGGGAUCCUUUCUGUCAUGGUACAAGUGUGCCUGGCUCAUCCUGGUGCCGACGAUCACUUGCGGAUCCAUGGCUGCCGGGGAGGAAUGGGGGCGACGGCAAGGGUUUUGGUUUUGGUUAUAGUGUCGACUGUGGAAGUGUGGAGCGGAGUACUACCGACCAAGUGGUGGGGAUGGAGAGAAUAGUGUUGUUUAACAAAUAACUAGUGUUUUUAAUAUCCGGCACAACUUAAAGACACACUCGUGCCAUGCUCGAUCAUGCGCGCUUGUGAGUCGUUAGAGCUUGGAUGCGGGAGUUCAUGAUUGGGGAAAGAAGCCAGUGCCUCAUUAUAAUUAUAGCAAAAUAACGUAAGCCACCACAUUCGUCCACAUAAGAUAAAUAAGGCUUUUGCUAAUUCUCAGGCGACCUUCUCAACCGUCGGAUGAGCUUCAAGAUCCGUGCUGUGUGCAUGUCUUUUCUUUCCUCAAUUUCUGUCCGUGCAAGCGUGUACAGGCCCUUGGGGCUGUGUGUAGGUUUGCUUUAGCAAGCUGACCGCAUGUUGUUUCUUUUUCCCUAUUUUUAAUAAAGCCUGGAGUGUUGCUAGCCGUAUGUGCAGCUUCCUUCUUCGUUUAAUCAAGUUUCUUUUUAUCAUGUGUAGGUUUGUGUGUUUAUCUGUUUUUUUAGAUUUUGCUAAGUAUAGAUUGUUUGGGAAAUAAUUAGUGAGAUGCCGAUUUGAGUUUUUUUAGGCCACUUGCACAAGACUUCUUUUCAUGUGCAAUUUUGUUUUUUGGGUCGGUUUCUCAUACCUCAUAUUUAUGUGUAAUUGAGAUCGUUUAGCUAGUUGCACAUCGUCUCUCUUGAUGUGCAACUAAGAUUUUUAGAGGAUGAAUUGCACAUAAAGACAAUUGAUGUGCAAUUUAUUGCCAAGUGUAAGCUGUUGAAAAUGAAUUAGUGAUACGCCGAUUUAACAUUUUUAUGCCAGUUGCACAAGACUCAUUUUUGUGCUGAUUUUUUUGGAUCAGAUACUCAUGUCUCUUUUUUAUGUGCAACUUAGUUUUUUUUUGUUGGUUGCACAUCAUCUCCCUUGAUGUGCGAUUUAAUUUAUUUUUUUGUGGAUGAAUUGCACAUAAAAACAAUUGAUGUGCAAUUCAAUUUUUUUGUGUGAUUUGCACACCGCCUCUCUGCGUGUGCAAUUUAAUAUUCUGAGAGUGGGUUGCACAUUAAGUGACGUGCAAAUGAGUUUUUUUUUGUGAUACCAACCCAAGAUGUUUAAAAUAUAUAAUACAUGGUAGUGCAAUUGUCUAAAAAAAAGAGGCAUCAAUUUAAUACAUCCAUCGACUGAGAAAUAAGGAAUUGGCUAUAGGCAGGCCCGAUAAAUAAUCUCCAUCUCAAUUAUUGUGGGUCUGGAUUAUAAUGGUUGAGAUCUAAAAUACAAAAAAUAAUAAAUAAGGUAUUCAGAUAGAAGUACACAAAUAUAACCGUGUACUUGUUACUGAAGGAAGAGGAACCAAUACAAAGUUUAAAAGGGAUAGAAUCAAAUUUCACUUCGAUUGAACUGUGACAAAAAUCAAUAGCGAAUCUAGCUGCGCAAAUAUCUAGAUAGUUAACGAGUAUUUUAGAUAUCAUCUAUAAAAAUUAUAUUUGGUAAAACUUACGAGGAUUGAAUCUUUCGAGAAUGAGGAUGGUCAAGAUAUAGGAGUACUUUGGACUUGAGAAUAUGUCCACUAAAUUUUGAUUUAGUCAAUAUAUCUUAGGUACAUAUAUUACAAACAUAAGCUGUAGUGUAGUUCUGCAUCUUAUAUUUUAUGUUUUUGGAUCUGCUAUGGUUGUCCAAAGAUUAUGAGUUAUAAGUCGAUAAAGGUAGGUAUCAUAAGACCUAGAUUUGCACAAAAUAAUUAUAUAUAUGACAUAAAAUUGGCAUAAAUUUUGACCAACGCUUACUCAAUAAAUAUAUAAUUAUAUACUCCCUCCGUUCCAUAUAAUUACAUGUAUCUAGAUUUGCACAAAUAUUGUGACGAUCAAGUUGAAGGUGGUCCUGUUCGGUCAAGACAACGAUAAGGCAUGGUCAAGCUAGCCUAGGAUUAGCCAGACAAAUCAACAGGUCAAGCUAUGGCCAAUCUGAGCAAAAUGACCCAAAAUAGGAGAAAAUAACUAAAUAAGAAUAAGAGGCUAGGAGGCCAGAAGGAAACGACUGAACGUGAGGCGAAUCGCCCGAAUUAACCAAUCUACGAAGUUCCUAUUUUCAUCUUGGCAUUUGACUUCAGAGGAAAUUAUACUGCGG
rnacentral:lncRNA from 1 species